GAUGAACGCUAGCUACAGGCUUAACACAUGCAAGUCGAGGGGAAACGGCAUCGAAAGCUUGCUUUUGAUGGGCGUCGACCGGCGCACGGGUGAGUAACGCGUAUCCAACCUGCCCAUCACUUGGGAAUAACCUUGCGAAAGUAAGACUAAUGCCCAAUGACAUCCCACGAAGGCAUCCGAAUGGGAUUAAAGAUUUAUCGGUGAUGGAUGGGGAUGCGUCUGAUUAGCUUGUUGGCGGGGUGACGGCCCACCAAGGCAACGAUCAGUAGGGGUUCUGAGAGGAAGGUCCCCCACAUUGGAACUGAGACACGGUCCAAACUCCUACGGGAGGCAGCAGUGAGGAAUAUUGGUCAAUGGGCGAGAGCUUGAACCAGCCAAGUAGCGUGCAGGAGGACGGCCCUAUGGGUUGUAAACUGCUUUUAUAAGGGAAUAAAGUGGGUCACGUGUGACUUUUUGCAUGUACCUUAUGAAUAAGGACCGGCUAAUUCCGUG
rnacentral:rRNA from 1 species